rnacentral:rRNA from 1 species
UACGAAGGGUGCAAGCGUUACUCGGAAUUACUGGGCGUAAAGCGUGCGUAGGUGGUUUGUUAAGUCUGAUGUGAAAGCCCUGGGCUCAACCUGGGAAUUGCAUUGGAUACUGGCAGGCUAGAGUGCGGUAGAGGAUGGCGGAAUUCCCGGUGUAGCAGUGAAAUGCGUAGAUAUCGGGAGGAACAUCGAUGGCGAAAGCAACCGUCUGGGCCUGAACUGACACUGAGACACGAAAGCGUGGGGAGCAAACAGG